rnacentral:rRNA from 1 species
GAUGAACGCUGGCGGCGUGCCUAAUACAUGCAAGUCGAGCGAACAGACGAGGAGCUUGCUCCCCUGACGUUAGCGGCGGACGGGUGAGUAACACGUGGAUAACCUAUCUAUAAGACUGGGAUAACUUCGGGAAACCGGAGCUAAUACCGGAUAAUAUAUUGAACCGCAUGGUUCAAUAGUGAAAGACGGUUUUGCUGUCACUUAUAGAUGGAUCCGCGCCGCAUUAGCUAGUUGGUAAGGUAACGGCUUACCAAGGCAACGAUGCGUAGCCGACCUGAGAGGGGGGCACCGCCACCCUGAAACUGAACACGGGCCCAGACCCCCAGGGGGGGCAGAAGAGGGGAAUUUUCCGAAAGGGGGGAAAGCCUGAGGGAGCAACGCGGGGGAGGUAAGAAAGGUCUUCGGUUCGAAAACCCUUUUUAUAGGGGAAAAAAAAUGUGGAAAGUAACUUUGCCGGUUUUGACGGAACCAAUCAAAAAAGCCACGGCAAACUACGU